AGUGAACGCUGGCGGUAGGCCUAACACAUGCAAGUCGAACGGCAGCACAGUAAGAGCUUGCUCUUACGGGUGGCGAGUGGCGGACGGGUGAGGAAUACAUCGGAAUCUACUUUUUCGUGGGGGAUAACGUAGGGAAACUUACGCUAAUACCGCAUACGACCUACGGGUGAAAGCAGGGGAUCUUCGGACCUUGCGCGAUUGAAUGAGCCGAUGUCGGAUUAGCUAGUUGGCGGGGUAAAGGCCCACCAAGGCGACGAUCCGUAGCUGGUCUGAGAGGAUGAUCGGCCACACUGGAGCUGAGACACGGUCCAGACUCCUACGGGAGGCAGCAGUGGGGAAUAGUGGACAAUGGGCGCAAGCCUGAUCCAGCCAUACCGCGUGGGUGAAGAAGGCCUUCGGGUUGUAAAGCCCUUUUGUUGGGAAAGAAAAGCAGCAGGUUAAUACCCCGCUGUUCUGACGGUACCCAAAGAAUAAGCACCGGCUAACUUCGUG
rnacentral:rRNA from 1 species